rnacentral:lncRNA from 1 species
UGACAAUUAGUGGAACAAGGGGCCAAGGGGUGCAUUGUUGAUCAGGAUGCUGAAGCCACGUCUGGUGAUCACAGGUGCCGUGAUUGCUUGGCGAUGUCUGCCCUGGACUCACAAUGGGGAGUGGCAGACCAGGUGUCACAUAACUGCCAUCCAUGAGCUGGAGGACCUUUGGGCCUUUCCAGUGGAACAUUCUACCACGCGGGUUCACCGGGCUGAGGUCAGGUAAUUAUAAGGCAGAAGUUACUCAUCAGGAAGGUUGUGGAUUCUUCACUCUCCUGAAGGAACGAUGACCAGCGAAAGGAAUCUGGGUACAAGAUGUGCCAGGAAGGUUAGAUCAAUUAGGCAAUAUUUUAAGUGAUUUGGAGGACUUGCCUUUUGCUGUCCAACUUGAGAUCAUGCCAACAGCUAGAGCGUUACCAGAGGGCCACGGGAUAUGGCCGUCCCUCUUUGCCAUGGCUCACCAGCAGCGCGUAUCAGCUCCAUGCCAGGAGCAGAAAUUCCAGCAGGAAGGAUGCAACCUCCAGCGCAGUUUACCAGAAGACCCAGUUGGGACUGGAGCCCUGGCCCUGACAUGGCUCCUCAACGUCUCAAGAUGGAUGGUCAAGCAGCCGUGGGGUGUGAAGAGGGCAGUUUGCCACAGAAGAGCUAGAAUAACGAGGAGGAGAGGCUCCAGUGACUCAGCCAGUGGGGGUCUACCCAAAUCUGCUUUUCUUGGACACCUCGGGGUAUCGCUAAGGGCAGAAAGUUCAAAAUGAAAGUUUUUAAAACUACUUAUUACAAAAAAAUCUCAAACAUCACAAAAGUAGGAAAGAAUAGUAUCAUGAACCCUGUAUUCCAUCACUCAACAACAAGAGGUCAACUGAGGAAAAAUCCACUACGAUUCAAACAGUAAAUAUUUCUUUGGGAAAUUAGAAUUACAAUUCAGGAGACACAGAUUCAGGUAGAAACCCAAAAUGUGUUCUGAGGAAGACAAAGGAGGCAGAGGUUUAUAAAAGCAAAAGAUGCAGGCCCAUAAAGGUUGACAUUGAAUAGCUAAUAAUUGGUUCUGGCGGGUUGAGUUGACUUGUCAGUUGGUCUUUGGGUGGCAUUCAAGCAGAUUGUCCUUGGAAUGAGGAAAUGUGUCAAGAUGUGACCUCUACUGUCAGCUAGUGUUGAAAAGUUCAGAUAACAUCUGACGGUGGACGUGGAGUGCUUGCAGAAGCCCCACUUCCUUAACGGCCUCCCGUCUUCAUAGUGGAAGCCUUGACAUAUGUUACUGCAUUUUGUUAUUGCUCUCCACAAAGAUUUACAACAUUAUCAUCUUAGUUGGCCCAGGUUGCCAUAGACUGGAAGUCCAAGAUCAAGGUGCCGGUCGAUUCAGUUCCUGGCUUGCAGACAGCUGUCUUCUCACUGUGUCCUCACAUGGCAGAGAGAGAGAGAGACAGACAGACAGACAGAGUUUUCUGGUGGCUUUUCUUAUAAAGGCACUAAUUCUAUCAUGUCAGCCCCAUCCUCAUGAUCUUAUCUAAACCUAAUUACCUCCCAAUAGCCCCAUCUCCAAAUAUCAUCAUAUUGGGGAUUAGGGUUCCAAGCAGGAAUUUUGAAGGGAACAUAAUUCACUUCAAAACAAUUACACAAAUCUUUGUUUUAUCUAGAUCCUCGUUUUUAAAACUUUUAUUAUUUAUUUGUUUUUGCUGGAGUAUUUUAAGACAGAGAUUACCAUUUCACGUUAACACUUAUUGUACAUCUCUAGGAGAGAAGGAUGUUUACAAUGUAUAUAACCACAAUGCUGUUUCAUUCCAAACAAAAUUAACAAUAACUUUAAUAUCUUGUAAUAUCCAAUCCAUGUUCAAAUAUCCCUGAUUCUCUCAAAAAUUUCUUUUUAGUAGUUUAUUUGAAUCAGGAAUCAAGAUCCAGAGAAGGUAUACGUAUAUUGCAUUCCGCUGUUGUCUCUCAAGACUUUUAACAAAUAACAGUCCCCCCUUCUUUUUAUGUCAUUUAUUUGUUUAAAAAGUGGGAGGGGUCAUUUGUCCUCUAGAAUGGCUCAAGUAUUGGCUUUGGGUGGUUGCUUCCUUAUUCCUUUAUCUACGCAGUUUCUGAAAACUGGUAGUUAGAUCUAGACUUGAGUUCAAAUUUUUAUUGGAAUACCUUCUAGGUACUUCCACGUAUUUCUUAUCGCAUCACUUCAAGAAGCACAUAAUUUCCUUUUGCCCCACUUUUAUGGAUGCUAAGAUUGGUCAGUGGGUCCUGAUGUUGUCAGCCUCAUCCAUCCAUUAUGAACCUCCCCUCCCACCUUUCACCUUAUGGUUUUAGCAUCCAUUGACGAUUUUCGCCUAGCUCCAUUGUUUCUCUAGGAGUUGCAAAACAGUGAUUUCCUAAUUUUGACAUUCCUUCUGAAUUUCAUUGUUGGAAUUCUUUCAAAAGGAACUUUCCUUCAUCAACUAUGUAUAAUUACCUGAAAUAUAUGUCAGACAGAAAGAAAUGGCAUAAAUAUUGAUGAUUAUUUCCCCUUCUCUCUCAACGAUUAGAAUAAUGAGUUGGUGCUCCAGCCAUCUCCCAUGGUGACAAAUUGGAUGUUGUAUAAUAUCAUAUGGAACACAUGGAUUUUUAUACAUUUAAUUUGUUUCAAUCAAUUUGAUGUGAGGCUCAAACUCUCUCACUUUUGGCCGGUGGAGGCCUCUUCAUAUUGAUUCCUCGUUCUUGAUUCCUUUUCUCAGCCCCCCAGUGGUCUUUGAAGACCCUCAACUGCCUAGUCCCUCAGGAUGUCCCGGGCUCAUCUUGUGCAUUUCUUGGCCCAGCCCUGGAAUCAGCUAUCUCUUCAAGAAUCUCUCAAUCCUCUAGUGGGAAAUGGUAUUUAGAGGCCACAAGCUAGGCCUCAGGGUGUUCAGUGUUGUCACGUUAGCAUUGCUUCUAGGCUUUUCAGCGCCCAGAGCUGGAAAAUACUUAUUUUCUUAGAAAAAGAAAACUAAUUAAUUCAUGCAAACUUAUACUUCCAAUUCAAGUUUUAAGAUUGCAGGGUUUAAACUUAUAGAAAAAGAGAUCAGACUUACGGUUACUGGAGGCAGAGGGUGGGGGCGGCGGGGCAGCCAGAGGAAGGUAGCUGAAACACACAAACUUGCAGUUAUAAGAUAGAAAGGUCCUGGGGAUGUAACGUACAACACGAUGACCAUAGUUGACUCUGCUUGACAAUAUAUGUGAAAGGUGUUAAGAGAGUAAAUCUUAAGAGUUAUCACAAGGAGAACAUUUUUCUUUCCUUUUUCUUCUUUCUUUUCCUUUUAGUGUAUCUACGUGAGGAGAUGGAUGUUAGCUGAACCUAUUGUGAUGAUCAUUUCACCUUAUAUGUGAAUCAAUCCAGCAUACCAUACACCUUAACAUAUACGGUGAUGUAUGUCAAUUAUUUCUCAAUAAACCUGGAAAAUGAAAGAUUGCA